AUUUCACUGAAGAUCUUGAUCUGUCGUUAUCAUCUUUUACCUUUGAGCUUGGUCGAUCUUGUUCCUGUCUGCUAUCAAGUGACACUUCAGCUGUGCAGUCCUUCACUUCCUGCUCCUUCGUAUCAACAUUCUCAUUCAGCAUAUCAGUUCUCUGCUCCCCAAUGGCAUGCUCAGAUGACUGCGACACAUCUUGAUUACCAUCUCUCAUGUAACUUGAAUCCGGAGAAACACCUUGCUCCUUUUCCAUACAGGUAUCUGUAACUUCUAGCCCCAUCAACCUCUUUGAGAAA
rnacentral:misc_RNA from 1 species